rnacentral:misc_RNA from 1 species
AAUUCUCAACCCAUUCAGCUUUUGUUAGAUGAAUGUGGCUUGGAUUUUGAGGGGUUGUGCGGGCUUUAUCAAGUCGGCUCCCUUUAAAUGCAUUAGCGGAAAACCCUUGUGGACCGUCUUUGGUGUGAUAAUUAUCUACGCCAUUGCCGUGAAGCAGCUAUACAAUGGGACUUCAGCUUCAAACCGUCCUUCAGAAGGACAACACUUAAUUGACA